ensembl:lncRNA BCAR3-AS1 BCAR3 antisense RNA 1
UCUUCCGGUUACUGACUCUGUGGCUGCUGCCUCCCACAACGCUGUGCUUGCAGACCCCAGGAGCGCUGGCUGUCCCUUCACUUCCUGAACAUGUGGAUGUGUGCUUUGGGUUCUUGACCUCAGCUCUUCCCAAGGUCUUCUUAGAGAAGGGUCUAAAUGAAGUCAUUUUUAGAGUAUUUGUUUUUGGUUACACAGGUGCUUCCGCCCAUGUGGCCUCGGAGUGGGACCCUGCGGGUCAUCAAUCUGUACAUUGCCUGAGAGCAGCCGUGUAUGCUCUGGAAGGGACAAGACCAGGUACCUGUCGGGGGAUGCGGCCGUGGUACCAGGCAUGGCUGCGCAGGUCCUCGCUGCUCAGGAGCAGCUCCUCCUCCAGCUCCUUCUUCAGUUUCUCGGGGGUCCUGUCCAUGAUGUGCCUCUCCUUGGAGAACUGCAACACAGAGUCAACCAUGAGCUCACCCUGCCCAGGCCACACCAGGCCAUGCCAGCUGGAGGUGACCGCCUGCUUCACUAAUCCAACCAGUUAUGCUACAGCCUGCAUUCAGGGAGAUGUGGCCACAGGACUCAGUUCUGACCAAGGAGCUGAGAUGUGAUGGCUGGAGACUCAACACCAUUCUGGACGGGUCUUGCUCUGUCUCCCAGGCUGGAGUGCAGUGGCGCAUUCAUAGCUCAAGUGAUCCUCCCGCCUCAGCCUCCCAGGUAGCCAGGACUACAGGUCUGCACCACCACACCCGGCCAUUGGUCUAAUUUCUAAGCAAGGCCAGUGUCUUCCAAUGAGCUCAGGGUGGGAAACCCCACGGGGGUUGGGCUGUGAACUGUACCAGGUGGCCCAAGCUGGGGGUCCAAAAAGACAGAUCCACAUCUCAAAUCCACUGAACUCUGGGAAUCCCUGUGAUGACCUGAGACCUGCAUCAUCACUGCCCCCAAUAAUGUUGUAAACAUGUAAAGAAACUGAAUCCCCAAAAAGCACACUUUCAAAAGCACUACACAAAGCAGUCUGAACCCUUCCUCUGAAGAAGGCUGCUACAUCUGGCAUCGUCUUACAAGUAAAUCCAACCCGAAAUGAAGUUCUUUGGAGAAUUCAGAAACUCAGCCCUUUUGAACCCCUGCCUUGCGUUGAAUUUCAAGCCAAGUUUACAACCAAAUUCUGAAGUAUAUAAAGGACUUUUAAAGACCCAAUUGGUAUUUUUACAAUUGAAAACCUGCAUAAAUUGAUCAUGAACCCAAAGAAUGAAUAAACCCCAAUUACUUUCAUCACUCUAAACCCUGCCCGAAGCUGAAAAUAAAAAUCCAGUUCUCCACAAGUUUGAAGACCAGUUACUUCUAGUACGAGCCCUUGGGUGUUUUCAUCUAAAGUAGAACAGAAAGAACAGGAAUGGCACUUGUGGCGAUCCUAAAGCCUUGCAAUGAAAUAAUUAGUAGAUUGGUUCUGUUUCACCUUUUACUGACACUUGCUGGUUUUGUGGCUUACUUAAAAAUAGUUUAUUUUAUUAUAAUCCAAAGAUAAAUGAAGAAAGGUUUGAAUUCACCAAUCCUACUUUUCCCACUGGGAUGCUAGGCUAGAAAAAUAGUUUCUUAUGCUAAUAACUGUGAUUAAAGCCAAAGCAUUUACUUAAAUAAUUAACUUUACAAAUAAAAAAGUUCAAAGAGAAAAAAAUUCAUAUUUUAUAUCCCUGUUGGGUAAACAAAACCAAAUGUGAACGUGGGCAAUUGGGCAUCUUUGCCUGACCCAGCCCAGUGGGCACAUGGUGGCCUGGCCAGCGGUCCAGGACGUUGCCAGAACCAUAGCUAAGGAGGUGCCACUUGUACACAGCUGUCAUGGAUCUAUAUAUUGAUUACAACAGCUGCCCAACAUAUGACAAUAAAGUGUCCUGAGGAAAGGGUGUCUUACUCUUAUUCACUCAAGAGGCACUCUACAGGCCAGCAGGGAGGGUCCCUGAGUGUGUCCCUGAGACUUCUCUGCCUUUUAGGUGUUGGACCCUUGGCAGAUGAGGACCUCUGGCCUCACUGGGCCCCUUGCUAUGAGCCAGCUCCUUCAAAUUCUCUCAUUAAAGCUCAGUGAAGCAGCCUUUGCAGAGAGCUUCCUAAUCCAUGCACACUUCACCCUUUUGGCUAAAGUUCUGCAGAAAUAGUCAGGGGCUCCAUUUUCAAUCAAGAGUUUGAUAGUCACUGGAACACCGUGCCUUAAAUGAAACCCAAGGACUUACUGCAUGCCUGCCGUGCUACUCUGCCUCUCUGGCUAGAUCUGAGGCAGCCGCAGCUGUGAUGGAAGGAGGACUCCAUGCCCUGCAGCAGUCACAGCCUUUUUGAGGAGACAAAGCAUUUGAAGAGAAUGUGCAGCAAUAAACAUCUAUCUUAUCUGGGGUCAGUGAGGGUUUCUGGUCCCUUCUGACAAAGAAAUUGGCAGCAGAGAUUCCAUAAAAAUUUCAAUAAGUUUUAGCAUUCUGAAACACUUCAAUUAGUUUGAUGUUAACGUUUAAGCACCUUGAUGAAAUAAAUUUAUCUCUUCCAAAUCCUAGAAAGAAUCUCCCUUUCGGCAAAGAUUCUGCAGAUGGGUUUUGAUGCCAUUUUUCCAUUUUGUAGUUAGAUCUCUAUCAUUUAUCACACUGUAGACCAAAUGGUCGUUUUAGUGCCAUUAAAAACUGAUUUGCAA